CUGGGCCGCGGACCGAGGGAAGCACGUGGGGAACCGGGGCCAAUGGACAGACGGGCCAGGGCGGAGGACAGAGGAAGCCGAGCCCAGGGUGGCCUCCGGAGAACCAGCAGGACCGGGCCUCUCGCAUCCACCUGCCUGGCAGCGCAGGUGCCGUCCUGGAAGACAGGAGUGAUGUAGCCAGCCAGGGAGGGCGCGGGCCGCAAGAAGGACACCGAGGUGACCAACAGCGACAGCGGGUGCAGGCCUGGAAAGGCGCUGGCUGCUUUGAAAUAUUGUAAUGAGAUGCUAAUCGCCCUCGACUGGCCAUUAGUUUUCACUGCAGUGCUUGCAGGUGGAGUUGAAUGUAAACCCCGGGGAACAGAGAAGGGCGGGUCAGAGAAUGCGGCUGCGCUCUGGCUCUCCGUGGCGGUACGGAGCUUGGAAGAGGAAAGGCCCCGAAGGAACCCCAUCCUUUCUGCAGCCAUCUGGCCCUGUCCUCCAGCCCACCCUCUCGUUUCCAGAGGAACCCCAGGAAGACCCCGCCCCAGUGCUCUGAAAUGAAGUGAACCAGUGUCAGAUCGCCAGCUUCUGCUCUCACAGCCCGAAGGCUAAGACACUGCCUCGGGCCCACCUUCCUCUACCUAGGGUUCCUCAACCUCGACAACAUUGAAAUUUUGAGCCA